rnacentral:rRNA from 1 species
GUUAAAGCAUAUCAAUAGCGGGAAGAAUUACAGAUUCCCUU